UACGUAGGGUGCAAGCGUUGUCCGGAAUUAUUGGGCGUAAAGAGCUCGUAGGCGGUCUGUCGCGUCUGCUGUGAAAACUCAGGGCUUAACCCUGAGCUUGCAGUGGGUACGGGCAGACUAGAGUGCGGUAGGGGGAGACUGGAAUUCCUGGUGUAGCGGUGAAAUGCGCAGAUAUCAGGAGGAACACCGGUGGGCGGAAGGCGGGUCUCUGGGCCGUAACUGACGCUGGAGGAG
rnacentral:rRNA from 1 species